rnacentral:rRNA from 1 species
UACGGAGGGUGCAAGCGUUGUUCGGAAUUACUGGGCGUAAAGAGCGUGUAGGCGGUUUGGCAAGUCGGAUGUGAAAUCCCUGGGCUUAACCCAGGAAGUGCAUUUGAUACUGCCGUUCUUGAGUAUGGGAGAGGAGAGUGGAAUUCCCAGUGUAGAGGUGAAAUUCGUAGAUAUUGGGAGGAACACCCGUGGCGAAGGCGACUCUCUGGACCAAUACUGACGCUGAGACGCGAAAGCGUGGGGAG